ACGGCCACAUUGCCUGCUGGGCGAAGGACUGAGCCUCGUGUGAAAAGAACUUUUACAUUAAGUCAACGUAAUUUUAAAUGUAAACAACUUCGCAUGCUUAGUGGCUGUUGGGAUGGACAGCUCAGGCCCAACCAACAGGAAACUGCUAGUCUUUGCUCUCCAGCCAACCAGGCUCCUCCUCCAGCCACCCAGCACCUGCUCCGGAGAGGCCCUAUUUGGACCAACAGACAAUGCUACACCGGGCUUCCCAACCCUGGGAGAGACGUCUUUGUAAGGAAGCCUCUGCACUAUGGGACCUGCAGAGAGUCUGGCUUUCCAACCACCUGUUCAAACAACAGAAGUGACUCCCCGCCAAAGCCAGUGCUUUCCGUAGGUGUCUUGACCUUAGCUCUGUGGACCAUGGAGGAUGAGGACGUCUAAGGAACUACCUGAGAAGCAUGAAACUAUUGCUGUGCAUGCGAACUUCCUGUCCACAGUCCCCUUCUGUCCAAGAUGUGUGCUUGUCAACACACACAGACAUGGGCACGCUCGCAUGCGUGCACACACACCCCUUCAUGUAGUGUUACACACACGCAGUACCACCUCACACACAGUGGUGCACACAACCAAUACUCAUAAAGACACUCAAAGCUCCCCCUCCACACACAUUCCUGCACACCACAGAACAAAUGCAAACAAGAACAAACAGUGGCCAAUUAAUUCCAAGCUCAUUUUAUCAGUGGAGCUGGCUACCAUCUUUGGCAGACACCUUUAGAGCAGCUGGGAAAGCAUCCCAGUGUGUCUGUCAAAUGAAAGGCUGCAUGAAGGCAGGCUCCGGGGAAGGCUGUUGGCCACAGACACUGCAGCAAACUGUAGCAAGUUCAGGCUGUUGUUCCAAGUGUCUGAUGAACAGUCAGCCCUUGGCUUCUCUGGAAGUAGACAGAAGGAUACAAAUCAGAGUCAGGGUCAAAUAACGACCUUCCCGCACCUUGGCUUUAUAGCAAGUUGUCUUCUGGAGUGGCUGCUGGAGAUGAGGAGAUGUGUUCGGAGCUGAUGCAGAUCCAGAGUCCAAGUGCUUCUGUACAGAUGGUCUGCAGUUGCCGUUUGGAUACUUGGUCUUUCUAUGAUCACCUCAUGUGCACUCACAAUACUUCUACAACAUGCACCCUGUUCUCACACUCCUACCCCCAACACAUACACACACACACAUGCACACGCACACACACACACACACACACACACACACAGGUGCGCACCAGGGCAUUUUUAUGUCUCCACAGAAGGUGCUGGCAGCUCCUUGGUACUUACUAAUGAAGAGCAGGCCUUCAGACAAGGUUACUGACACCAGCAGUGACUGCAACCAUCUUGAAGGCAUAUUGAAAGGAAAGUAGAAAACUACUGAAGGUCCCAGGAACCAAAGAGGGAGCAGGUGGGAGCGACAGCUGGAGCAAGAGCAGCAACCAGGAGAGGGUGGAGGGCUUGCCUGCUUCCUGCCUUCGGAGGGGCACUACCUGACCCUGAGUGGCCGGCUUCCGGACAAACGUAGCUGUACUGUUGGAGUUCCAGUCCCUACAUCCUGGCUGUCCUCUUGUCCCACACUCCUUGGUAGUCACUUAGGCAGUUGACUCCCUGUGAGACACAUGAGGGGACUUAGGCUUUGCUGGGCUCUAGGCACGUCUUAGGUUAUGAAACACCCAUUAUGUUAGGUGUUAUGUGUAAAGCUGUUAACAAUGCCAUCACUGAGCCGGGCGGUGGUGGCGCACGCCUGUAAUCCCAGCACUCUGGGAGGCAGAGGCAGGCAGAUUUCUGAGUUCGAGGCUAGCCUGGUCUACAGAGUGAGUUCCAGGACAGCCACGGUUACACAGAGAAACCUUGUCUCGGAAAAAACAAAUCCAAAAAACCAAAAAAAAAAAAAAAAAAAGAUCUCCUUCUGGAGCCUGUUCUCUGUAAGGAAGAGGAGGGAGCCGUGGAUGGGGCCAUUGGAUGCUCUAAUUAGCAGGUACUGAACUCUUUCUUGCUGUCUAAGCCAUCCUGAGGGAAGGGAGUCAAGGUCUUACAGCCAGCUGGACCAUCUUUUUGGUAACAUCAGUAAUCAUGAACAUUCCACAGAGACCGAAGCCUCCUGGAACCACUUUCCGCCUUUGUCAGAGGGGAGAGGGGCACUUCCCCUGGUAGAGAGACCACCAUGACUAGAGGCAAGGCCGUGAUUGACUGGGACCACAAGCCUCCACAACUGUGAUUGCUUCUAAACAGCUGUGACAGGCUAAACGAACGGGUGUUCUGAGUCUAAGCCCUCCCUCUCCCUCUGUGACCCCUAAAGCAGGCUACUUUCGGCCCAGUAGGGAGUGUCCUGCCAAGGGCUUUCCUGUGCUGCCCUCCAGCGCUGCAACACUGGGACCUGGAGUGCUCUGGCCUUCCCAGCAUUCACUCUCACAGUGCAUGCUGGGCUGAUGAAAGAAGAAGAAACCUGGCAGGAAGUGCAGCUUCGCACCUAAAGAAGUAUCCACCAAAGUUGUAGCGGCUUUGGUUUGAUAAUGUGGUACCUUACAGCCGAUGGUGUGGAUAGGUGCACACCUCCUCCCAUUUGACAGCUAAAGAUCCUGAAGGCAGCACAUGGGCUCCAACACCCAGACACUGCACUGUGUGGUGCAUGGUGCGUGGUUGUUCUCAUGCCAUUAGAACUCAAGAUGGUGGGAGAAAGCAGACAGCUUGUAAAAGAAGACGAGGCUGUCAGGAGCCAGAGGACAGAACCUGCUGGUCCUGGUCCCCGAAUGAUUCCAGACAGAUGUUCUAUCUGAAGAACCAGAAGGAUCUCAGGCCAAAGACUGAGAGAGAGAAGGCUGCUGCCUCCAAGGGCCAAGAGUCCCAAUACCCAGGACCACCGCCAAGGAACAAUGGGGCGGGGGUGGGGGGGCAGAGCUCGAGUUGCUCCCUCCUGCUUGCUGCCACUCACAUCUGUCAAACACUGAGAAAGGAAAGCUUUGAGAUAGGUGUUUGUGGAGCUGAUCCCUGUCCAGACACCGUGUCCACUCAAGCAGAGCUCACUGGUGUCACCGGGGCUUCCCCACAGACCUCAGCCCAGGGUGAGGACAACAUCGUCCAGGGUCAAGAUAAUGGUGGCCACAAAACCGGAGAGUUGUGAAUGGGGCUUAAGGGGCAGCUGGCACGUGGGACGGAGUGCAGAGCUGAGGUCCAGUGGGCCCUGGGCAGGGCCUGGGAAGAGGCAGGACAUCAGUGGGCUGGCCCCCAAAGUCGAUGCGCCUCUGCGGCGUGCUAGUCUUCCCAAGGGCAGGGACGGUCUAUCUUCUCCGGUCUGUCCUCGGUGCUCAGGACUAAUACGUGAAUACAUUUUAUUUUAUGGUAAUUUUACAGUGGGCUUUUCUAGGGAGGAUACCCACACUAGAGUUAUUUUGGCAAACUUAUCAAGGUUCGGAGUCCAGGGCAGUGAUGAUCUCCAUGGUAACUGUCCAGAACUCUGCAUGUUUAAUGAUCUUGGGGGGAUUUUUCUAAACUAAAAAUAAAAUCUAGAAACCUGCUCUAGAGUUUCAUUUUUAGUUUCGGGGGGGGGGGGGAGAAUGUCCCUUUUCUCACCAAGUUUGAACUAAAUAACACCUAUCUUUUCUCCCUUGGCCUGCCCUGAAGGGAUCUUGGAACUAAAAAUGAGUCUUCCUAAGUAACUUUCGUCUGCCUAGGAUUCUGUUGUUGGUACCAGGACCUCCGAAACCUGUGACAUCACAUAGGUGAUAGUGCGUGUGACCUGUACACCUGUUGCCGAGGCAACAGCCACCAUAUUCCCAGAAUCCAUUGGACUUACCUUAACCUGCGACCAAGUCACCAUCUGUAUAUAUGAGAGAAGCACCCCCUCCCCCGUUCUCUGUCUUCCCCUCUUUUCUUUCCACCAUUACCUUUGCCCUUUCCCCUCUCAAUAAACCUCAUGUGGAACUGUU